UUCCAGAUCCCAGUGAAGUCACCUCAGUUACUGGUUGCUAAAUUGAUUACUGGCUGUUGCAUCAAAGCCCUUUCUUUUACUUUUAAUAAAAUUUGUUUCACCAGGGAAAAAGUAAGAAAAGCAAGGCAGUUUGCAAUGAUCACACAGGGUUUGUGAGAGCCAGGCUGGGCAGGGACUGAGGUGGCCACAGGCUGUGGCAUCCUGGCUAGGAUUUUGCCUCCUGACAGCAAACUGUGACUCCCCAGUGUUUUUUCUUAGUGAAGAGAGGAGUUUGCCAGGACAAAGCAAAGGCUGAGGAGCCCAGCUCCUGACACAGAAGAGAAGAAGUGCUGUGCUGACCAUGCAUGAGGAAGCCAAUCUUGUUGCUAAUGGAUACAGGAUAAAGUGUGAGGUGAUAUUUGUUCAGCUGAGUCACUUGCAGCCAGAGGUUUCUGGAGGGAUGCUGACAGCAGCUGAUGAACAUUUGGCAGAGCUCAAGAACAGAAGAGGUGACAAAGGUGACAAUCUCCUUUCCACCUGGCUGGGGCCAGCUCAGGUGCACCACCUGCCAGCAGCUCCAGGACAGGCAGCCCCUCCUUGGCUUUGGAUUCAUCUGGACUUGAAAGGAGAUGCGAAGAGCUGUCUGUACUCCAGCCUUUCUUCAGGAUGAAGCUUUUCUUUGCAUUUUGUUAUUUUAGACUCCUUUAGGUUAAUAAAUUUCAGCUCCAUCAGCUUUUCAAGCCAUCAGGAAUUCUAGCACAAGUAUAUCCAGUGCAUAUUGAGUCAUUUGGAAACAAGUGCCCACAGGAAAUCUAUUUAAGCACUGGAACUAUCUUUCAUAAAGCAAAUAUUGCCAUCAACUUCACCACCAGGUUGGACUGGGCUGUGAGCUUGCUCUCUCAUUAUCUACAUGAAUUUCAAAAAUAUGUCUAAUUGCUUAAAAGUCAAUGGGAUCUGCUUUUCCAAGUUACCCCAGGGCUUUUGAAAAUUCCUCUUCAUGAGGAAUGAAACCAGAAGUCAAACCUGCCUUCCACAAGUGACCACUUUCUGUGCCUCUCCUUGCUACCUCCUCUUUCACAGCUUGUUGGAUUCCUGCAGAGUCACAAUUUAAUGUAUGAACUCCUGAGCUCUGCAGAACAGACCCUGCAAUCCCUGAGCCCACAACUUCUGAUGGGUCUUUUGCUCCUCCUCUUCCUCCUCCUCCUCCCCCAUCCCAGCCAAAGGACAGCAGUUGCCUUGCAGUCCCCCAGAGUUUUUGCUUUUGUGGAGUAAAAAAUGACCCUCUCCCCAUGCCUCCUGCAGACUGCUUGUUUGCAUCAAGGUAAACAUUUAAAUGUCACCUAAAUGUAAAAAUAGGUAGGAGGCACAUUAAAGGAACUUCAUCUCCACUUCACAUCAACACCACCAAACACAUUGUUACAAGAGUGACUAAAACUGUCUAAUAACAUCAUCAGUGGCAACUGGUCAGUAAAAAUGUUUUUUAAUUGUGACUUGACUGUGUUUAUCAACCUCUUUUUGUGACAUUAAAAAGACAGCAAGAGAAACACAUGGAGACAUUGUCCUCGAGGGAAAGGAUUAAUCAUCAGUGAGUGAGCAGGCCUAAGCAGAUGGUCAGCUAUGCUUUCCUGAAGUCAUUUCUUCUAUCCACCAUUCAGUGUCACUGCCAGAAAUAAGGAGAAGUGUUAUCUUGACAUUGAACAUCUUUAUAAUAAAAUCACUAAUUGGUGUCUAAUACCAAAGGCUUUAUAGCUGCAAAACUGCAGCGGAGGUAGCUGAGUGGUUGACUGGGUUUCAUUUUAAUAAAUGCUGUUUUCCAAACCCUU